rnacentral:rRNA from 1 species
CGUACACACGGCUCAGUAACACGUAGUCAACCUACCCUGGAGACGCGGAUAAACGCGGGAAACUGCGGCUAAUACGCGAUAGGUGAUGUCAUCUGGAAGGAGACAUCGCUUAAAGGGUGGUGCGGGUAUGUUCCGUACCAGCGCUCCAGGAUGGGACUGCGGCCGAUCAGGCUGUUGGCGGGGCAAUGGCCCACCAAACCUGUAACCGGUACGGGCUUUGAGAGAAGGAGCCCGGAGAUGGACACUGAGACAAGGUUCCAGGCCCUACGGGGCGCAUCAGGCGCGGAAACUUCGCAAUGCGCGAAAGCGUGACGAGGCUAAUCCGAGUGACGUCCGCUGAGGAUGUCUUUUCUCGGCUGUAAAUAGGCCGGGGAAUAAGGGGAGGGCAAGUCUGGUGUCAGCCGCCGCGGUAAUACCAGCUCCUCGAGUGGUCAGGACGAUUAUUGGGCCUAAAGCACCCGUAGCCGGUUCCUUAAGUCCUCUGUUAAAUCCAACCGCUCAACGGUUGACCUGCAGAGGAUACUGCGGGACUAGGAGGCGGGAGAGGCGGACGGUACUCCGCGGGUAGGGGUAAAAUCCUUUGAUCCGCGGAAGACCACCAGUGGCGAAGGCGGUCCGCCAGAACGCGCUCGACGGUGAGGGGUGAAAGCUGGGGGAGCGAACCGGAUUAGAUACCCGGGUAGUCCCAGCCGUAAACGAUGCGAGCUAGAUGAUUCAUUCGCAGUUCGCGAAUGAAGUGUCGCAGGGAAGCCGUUAAGCUCGCCGCCUGGGGAGUACGGUCGCAAGGCUGAACG